AGAACGAACGCUGGCGGCAUGCCUAAUACAUGCAAGUCGAACGAACUCUUCGGAGUUAGUGGCGCACGGGUGCGUAACGCGUGGGAAUCUGCCCUUGGGUUCGGAAUAACAGUUGGAAACGACUGCUAAUACCGGAUGAUGACGAAAGUCCAAAGAUUUAUCGCCCAGGGAUGAGCCCGCGUAGGAUUAGCUAGUUGGUGAGGUAAAGGCUCACCAAGGCGACGAUCCUUAGCUGGUCUGAGAGGAUGAUCAGCCACACUGGGACUGAGACACGGCCCAGACUCCGUACGGGAGCAGCAGUAGGGAUAGUUGGAC
rnacentral:rRNA from 1 species